AAAUUGAUAUCCACGUUAAAUCGCGAGAUGCCUCCUCGCAGAUUUUAAAAUACACUGCUUUUUUAUUCCGACAGUUUUGUACUCGUGAUUUUAUGUUCUUGUGAUUUGAGAGAAAAAAACACCAGCGAAAUUACGGUAAUAAGUACUUGCGUAAAAUAAGGAAUCUGCGGUAUCUUAUGUUAAUUUCUCAGAACAAGAUUCAAAUUAAUUGUAUUGCUCUAAAUUCGAAAGGUUCAUUUAUUAUGAAUUUGCAAUUUUGAAUCUGGAAGGCUGCUGUAAAAUGAAAACGUCAUUGGGUAUAUGUUUGUACUAUAUACUAUUGUGCCUUGAAUAUACAUAGUUGUUUUCUUAUUCUGUUCAUCCGAUUAAAAAUGACCCAAUCAAAAAAUCAAUAGAGUAUGACAAUAAUUAUUAUUAUUAUAAUUAUUAUCAUAUUAUCUUUAUUAUAGUGUAGAUUUUUGUUUCUUUUUGUUAAUUUGGUUCUUUGUAAAUGGUUUUUGCAUGUUCUCAGUCUCGGUCUUUGUAGAUCUCAACCGAUGCAUUGAAACAUUUAACACGGUUUCAAGUCUUUUUUUUCUUUUUUUUUUUACAAAAGAAAUUUGUUCAAUUAAAGUCUGAUAAUUAAGAAAUUCCAUUGACAUAAAUAAAACUUGUUAUCAAUACCAGCUUUUUUUUUCAAACAUCCAAAUCGCAAAUCUUAACGAUCAUCCGGAAUCACAGCAAAGAAAUUUGCAAUUGACAAAUAUUAAUUAGGAAUCUAUCUUUUAAUAACCUUACCUAAGUAAAAUUCUUGAUAGUUACGGAAGACUGGCGCCGAAAUUUAAAUGCGCAUUGUAAACUGUUUGCAAUUCCAACAAACGACGUAGUUCAUGUCACGUGAUGUUUACGGGUAUAAAAUUGUCUUUUUAACAAGGAAGUAUAUUUUAUCCAGAAGAAUCAGACCUUAAAAGUAUCGGGUUUUUUUUAAUUUAUUGAGUAGCGUUCAGUCUGUAACAACGAGGAAGAACAAUGUCCGAAUCAAAUGGUAUUAUAAUGGAAGAAGAAAAGAUAACGAACAUUUCGAUUUUCGAAUCGAAGGUUCGUCCAAUUCUUGCUGAGUUCAUUGGAUCUAUCAUUCUGACGUCUAUAGUGUGUGCUGGUGCAAUAAACACAUUGAGUAGUGGUCUUAAUAAUGGAGUUAUUUAUGGACUUACAAUGGUAUUUCUCAUCAUUGCAUUCGGUGAUAUGAGUGGGGGUUAUUUUAACCCCGUUAUAACACUUGGCUACACCCUGGCAAGAGUUCUGUCAAUUCCUCAGGCGGUCUGUUACUUCUUUGCUCAAAUAAUCGGAGGAAUUGUUGGAGCGGCCUUAGUGCGGGCUAGUUACCCGGAAUCCGAAUUCGGUGGAAGUUGGUUAUAUGGAAGCCUUUGGAAGGAUAUUCUGUUAGAAGCCAUGUUGUCUGAGGCCAUACCAACUUUAAUCCUUGUUUUGACUGUCCUUAUCACUACUUUGGAUAAAAAAAAGCGUCGACUCUCCCCAUUGGCCAUUGGGUUUUCUAUCAUUGUCUGCUCCGUUACAAGCUACUCGGAGAGACGACGUGAAUUUACAUUUAUGAAUCCUGCCUUAAGUUUUGGUCCUGCUGUAGCAUACUCUACGCCGUAUGACGGUGGCGAAUUAUGGAAAUAUCAUUAUGUGUACUGGGUAGGCCCUCUUGUGGGGACAUUGGUGGCCUCUCUCUUGUACAGGUAAGAUUUUGUCGUUAUAUCGCCUCUCUCUUGUACAGGUAAGAUUUUGUCGUUAUAUUGCCUCUCUCUUGUACAGGUAAGAUUUUGUCGUUAUAUUGCCUCUCUCUUGUACAGGUAAGAUUUUGUCGUUAUAUUGCCUCUCUCUUGUACAGAUUUGUUUUUGCUUUGGGGAGUAGGCGGAUUCGGAUCCCAAAACCCUGCUUCAAAAAACAGCCUUUCAAUUCUGGAGAAAAAUAUGCUGCUUAAAGAAUCAGCCUUGCAUUUCUUGAGCAAUUUGAACAUAACAAUCAUAAUAUGUUAUGAAUUUAAUAUGUUUAUAGCAUUGUUUAAUCCCGCUUUUAUAUAUGAUAAGUUAAAUUAUAAAUAAUAAUAGCAUAUUUAUGUAACUAUUGUUGUUGAAUUUAACUACCUUUAUCUUUGGAUUUUAUACUUAAUACAUUGGUUAUAAAUACGGUAUGUAAUACUGUAAAAAUUUUAUUCAUUUGACCAAUUGAUAAAAUUGAAAAAGAAAUGACCGGAAAAAACUUUACAGACUUUUUAGAAGAUGUCUCGUCUAUCUACCUUUAGUUUGAAUUCUAAGGAAAAGCGUUAAUUGAUUUUAUGUCCCAUAAAACAUAACUGCAUGUGUUGCAAAAGAGCUAUUCCCCCUUUUCAAUGAUGAAUUUCAACUAUAGGCAAAAGGUUAUAUAUACAUGUCAUUUUACAGAUGAUUCAAUGUUCACAGAAUCUGAAGGGUUUAAUAGUGGUUUUUAAGGGGGGUGGAAUUCACGCUCAAGACACCACUAAAGAAGGACUUUUUUAUAUUAUUUCUUAAUGCAAACCACAUUUAUCUAGAAAUAAAUACCAUGCAUUCGUCUUGGGUACGGUGUUUCUACCAUGGACUUGUUCUUUGUGAUUGAUUGAUCACGAUUAUAUAGAUUCUUAAUUGGCAUGUCCAUAUUGUGUCACUUUAUUAAAGAAAUACUUACUAUA